rnacentral:rRNA from 1 species
AACGAACGCUGGCGGCAGGCCUAACACAUGCAAGUCGAGCGAGGACUUCGGUCCUAGCGGCGGACGGGUGAGUAACGCGUGGGAACGUGCCCUUUGCUUCGGAAUAGCCCUGGGAAACUGGGAGUAAUACCGGAUGAGCCCUUUGGGGGAAAGAUUUAUCGGCGAAGGAUCGGCCCGCGUUGGAUUAGGUAGUUGGUGGGGUAAUGGCCUACCAAGCCGACGAUCCAUAGCUGGUUUGAGAGGAUGAUCAGCCACACUGGGACUGAGACACGGCCCAGACCCCUACGGGAAGCAGCAGUGGGGAAUCUUAGACAAUGGGGGAAACCCUGAUCUAGCCAUGCCGCGUGAGCGAUGAAGGCCUUAGGGUUGUAAAGCUCUUUCAGCUGGGAAGAUAAUGACGGUACCAGCAGAAGAAGCCCCGGCUAACUCCGUG